GUUUGUAUAGUUUAAAUUAAAACAUUAUAUUUUCACUGUAAAAAUAUCUAUAUAGAUUACAAAUU
rnacentral:tRNA from 1 species